GGAGUGGGUCGGGCGGGCGCGCUUGCCGGUCUUCGGACCGGCGGUGAGGAAAGUCCGAGCUCCGCAGGACAGGAUGCUGGGUAACGCCCAGGGGGGGUGACCCCACAGACAGUGCCACAGAAAAUAUACCGCCCGGUUUACCGGGUAAGGGUGAAAUGGUGAGGUAAGAGCUCACCGCGCCUGCGGUGACGUAGGUGGCAGGGAAAACCUCAUCCGGAGCAAGGCCAAAUAGGGGGAGAGAGGUGGUCCGCCUCGUUAUCAUUCCCGGGUAGGCCGCACCGAGGCGAUCGGGUAACCGUCGCCCCAGAUGAAUGCCCGCACAACGCGCCGCAAGGCGUGUGGACAGAACUCGGCUUAUAGACCCACUCCUUCG
rnacentral:RNase_P_RNA from 1 species